UAGCUCAGUUGGUAGAGUGCUUGCCUUGCAUGCACAAGACCCUGGGUUCAAUUCCUAG
rnacentral:tRNA from 1 species